GACGUAGGGCGCGAGCGUUGUCCGGAUUUAUUGGGCGUAAAGCGCUCGUAGGCGGCUCGUUGCGUCGGCUGUGAAAACCCGCAGCUCAACUGUGGGCUUGCAGCCGAUACGGGCGGGCUGGAGUUCGGUAGGGGAGACUGGAAUUCCUGGUGUAGCGGUGAAAUGCGCAGAUAUCAGGAGGAGCACCGGUGGCGAAGGCGGGUCUCUGGGCCGAUACUGACGCUGAGGAGCGAAAGCGUGGGGAGCGAACAGG
rnacentral:rRNA from 1 species